rnacentral:tRNA from 1 species
GUUCUUAUAGUGUAUUGAUAGCACAUUAGAUUUUCAAUUUUUUAGAGCAUAUUAAUAUGUUAAGAAUA